CAGAACGUCGUGAGACAGUUCGGUCCCUAUCCGUCGUGGGCGUAGGAAAUUUGAGAGGAGCUGUCCUUAGUACGAGAGGACCGGGAUGGACGCACCGCUGGUGUACCAGUUGUUCUGCCAAGGGCAUAGCUGGGUAGCUAUGUGCGGAAGGGAUAAGUGCUGAAAGCAUCUAAGCAUGAAGCCCCCCUCAAGAUGAGAUUUCCCAUAGCGUAAGCUAGUAAGAUCCCUGAAAGAUGAUCAGGUUGAUAGGUUCGAGGUGGAAGCAUGGUGACAUGUGGAGCUGACGAAUACUAAUAGAUCGAGGACUUAACCAUAUAA
rnacentral:rRNA from 1 species